GGUGACAGCCCCGUACACAAAAAUGCACAUAUUGUGAGCUCGAUGAGUAGGGCGGGACACGUGGUAUCCUGUCUGAAUAUGGGGGGACCAUCCUCCAAGGCUAAAUACUCCUGACUGACCGAUAGUGAACCAGUACCGUGAGGGAAAGGCGAAAAGAACCCCGGCGAGGGGAGUGAAAAAGAACCUGAAACCGUGUACGUACAAGCAGUGGGAGCACGCUUAGGCGUGUGACUGCGUACCUUUUGUAUAAUGGGUCAGCGACUUAUAUUCUGUAGCAAGGUUAACCGAAUAGGGGAGCCGAAGGGAAACCGAGUCUUAACUGGGCGUUAAGUUGCAGGGUAUAGACCCGAAACCCGGUGAUCUAGCCAUGGGCAGGUUGAAGGUUGGGUAACACUAACUGGAGGACCGAACCGACUAAUGUUGAAAAAUUAGCGGAUGACUUGUGGCUGGGGGUGAAAGGCCAAUCAAACCGGGAGAUAGCUGGUUCUCCCCGAAAGCUAUUUAGGUAGCGCCUCGUGAAUUCAUCUCCGGGGGUAGAGCACUGUUUCGGCAAGGGGGUCAUCCCGACUUACCAACCCGAUGCAAACUGCGAAUACCGGAGAAUGUUAUCACGGGAGACACACGGCGGGUGCUAACGUCCGUCGUGAAGAGGGAAACAACCCAGACCGCCAGCUAAGGUCCCAAAGUCAUGGUUAAGUGGGAAACGAUGUGGGAAGGCCCAGACAGCCAGGAUGUUGGCUUAGAAGCAGCCAUCAUUUAAAGAAAGCGUAAUAGCUCACUGGUCGAGUCGGCCUGCGCGGAAGAUGUAACGGGGCUAAACCAUGCACCGAAGCUGCGGCAGCGACGCUUAUGCGUUGUUGGGUAGGGGAGCGUUCUGUAAGCCUGUGAAGGUGUGCUGUGAGGCAUGCUGGAGGUAUCAGAAGUGCGAAUGCUGACAUAAGUAACGAUAAAGCGGGUGAAAAGCCCGCUCGCCGGAAGACCAAGGGUUCCUGUCCAACGUUAAUCGGGGCAGGGUGAGUCGACCCCUAAGGCGAGGCCGAAAGGCGUAGUCGAUGGGAAACAGGUUAAUAUUCCUGUACUUGGUGUUACUGCGAAGGGGGGACGGAGAAGGCUAUGUUGGCCGGGCGACGGUUGUCCCGGUUUAAGCGUGUAGGCUGGUUUUCCAGGCAAAUCCGGAAAAUCAAGGCUGAGGCGUGAUGACGAGGCACUACGGUGCUGAAGCAACAAAUGCCCUGCUUCCAGGAAAAGCCUCUAAGCAUCAGGUAACAUCAAAUCGUACCCCAAACCGACACAGGUGGUCAGGUAGAGAAUACCAAGGCGCUUGAGAGAACUCGGGUGAAGGAACUAGGCAAAAUGGUGCCGUAACUUCGGGAGAAGGCACGCUGAUAUGUAGGUGAAGCGACUUGCUCGUGGAGCUGAAAUCAGUCGAAGAUACCAGCUGGCUGCAACUGUUUAUUAAAAACACAGCACUGUGCAAACACGAAAGUGGACGUAUACGGUGUGACGCCUGCCCGGUGCCGGAAGGUUAAUUGAUGGGGUCAGCGCAAGCGAAGCUCUUGAUCGAAGCCCCGGUAAACGGCGGCCGUAACUAUAACGGUCCUAAGGUAGCGAAAUUCCUUGUCGGGUAAGUUCCGACCUGCACGAAUGGCGUAAUGAUGGCCAGGCUGUCUCCACCCGAGACUCAGUGAAAUUGAACUCGCUGUGAAGAUGCAGUGUACCCGCGGCAAGACGGAAAGACCCCGUGAACCUUUACUAUAGCUUGACACUGAACAUUGAGCCUUGAUGUGUAGGAUAGGUGGGAGGCUUAGAAGUGUGGACGCCAGUCUGCAUGGAGCCGGCCUUGAAAUACCACCCUUUAAUGUUUGAUGUUCUAACGU
rnacentral:rRNA from 1 species